rnacentral:rRNA from 1 species
CGUGCCUAACACAUGCAAGUCGAACGCGAAAGCGGGGGCAACUCCGUGAGUAGAGUGGCAGACGGGUGAGUAACGCGUAGGGAACCUACCUUUUUGUGGGGGAUAACGUUCCGAAAGGAAUGGUAAUACCGCAUGAGACCAUGGGCUGGGAUGUUCAUGGUGAAAGCCGGGGAUCGAAAGACCUGGCGCAAGAAGAGGGUCCUGCGUCUGAUUAGCUAGUUGGCGGGGUAACGGCCCACCAAGGCGACGAUCAGUAGCCGGCCUGAGAGGGUGAUCGGCCACACUGGAACUGAGACACGGUCCAGACUCCUACGGGAGGCAGCAGUGGGGAAUUUUGCGCAAUGGGCGAAAGCCUGACGCAGCAACGCCGCGUGGGUGAUGAAGGUUUUCGGAUCGUAAAACCCUGUCGUCGGGGACGAAGGUAGCUUAGUUAACAGCUGAGUUGCUUGACGGUACCCGGAGAGGAAGCCCCGGCUAACUCUGUGCCAGCCGCCGCAGUAAUAC